rnacentral:tRNA from 1 species
AACCGCGUAGCUCAGUUGGCAGAGCAUUGGGCUAGUAUUCCAAAGGUCGUAGGUUCGAUUCCCACUGUGGCCA